rnacentral:lncRNA from 1 species
GAGUUUGUUUCCAAUCGAAAAAUAAAUGGUAGGCUAGAAUAAAGGUUGUGCUAAUGCUUAAAAAGAACAGACCUUCAGUUCUCUCACCUUUUUAGUGGCUUCAAAUGUUUAUAAGAGAAACUAAGGUUUGAGAAUAUACUAGGAUAAAUGAAAUCUUGCGAACUUCAAAUUUUACAAAGUGCCAGUUUAACUUUCAGGUUGCUUGAUGAUUGUUUUAGCAACGAAGCUUCUUCUUAGUUUAAAUGAUAAUGCACUUGAUCUUAGUAUGCAUUAUCAAUUGCCA